AGAAGCUCUGGGUGGCAGGAAGUGGGAACCAAACAAGAGGAAGAAAUAAAAAGUUUCAGUACAGCACGGGAAUGGGUCUUAGGAAAGGAGCAGGGGUGCAAAGGUCGUGGGUUUCCGGGAAGCAGGGCCUGCCUCAAAGUGGUCCAGCCAGGGCUCCUCGCUCGGCCGGCCCUUGGCACCCAGAAAAGUGGCCUGGUCUCCGGGGGACUGGCAGAGCAACAGAAGGCAAUGGCUGAGUACCUACAGCUGUCCCAGGCCCUGGCGCUGAUCCGCCUCCGAAACCCGCCGGUCAACGCCAUAAGUUUCUGAUAGGCUCAAGUUGACCUCCCAGAAGUCAGCCUAGGAGUUGUUCUUGGUGGAAGAGGAACCCAGCUUCUGAGACUCAUUGGAAUUCCAACAUCAUGCAAUUUAAUUACCCCAGAGGGCCUCCUGAAGAGUCACUGAAGUGUGUAUCUGAUCAAGAAAAUCAUUUGCAGUUCUCUGAAGUGCUCCUAAGAACCAAGAAUGAAAGUUGUGUCCCAGAGAUGCCAACCAUCAACACUGUGUAUAAGAGCAGGAAGAUGCUGGAAUUGUUGCCACCCAGACUGAUUUGACAAUCACAUUUCAGAAGGUAAGACUGUACUGGCAAGAAAACAAGUGACAUGUCACUGUCUCCUUCCUUCUGACCCAUGGGAAAGGAUGCUUGUGACUUCAGCUGCCUACUUCCGAAUUUGCAGAUUAAGUUAUAUCUUUACAACUGGUGAAGAUUUGCUGAGAAUAUUUGAGAUGAAUGCAAAUCUCCAUCAAGUCUCCUUAGGCCCUAGAAGUGACAUUCCCAUGCUAGAGGCUGUCAGCACCAUCAGUGGACACCAAAUGCUGCCUGAAACACCACCACGGGAUACCAGAUGUUGCCACCAAUGGACUGAGGUUUCAGCUGUUGCUGCUGCUUAGUAACAAUGACUCAACACUAAGAACCCUCCACAGAGCACUUGGUUCACCAAGCUUAUGACUGUGGACCACAGCCCACUGCCAGGGCACUGAAUGAACCAUUACCUCGUCAUCUCAGCCUCCUUUUCAGCUUCUGUAGUAGGAAACGGGGCUCCAAAGCUCACAACGAAGAGAUUCCACAAAUGAAAGAAGGGUUGAGAUGCUAAUUAACCAAAAAAUAGUAGAAGAGCACCCUAUUUGCCCUGUACAAUUUUUUUUCCAGUACUGGGGAUCAAACUCAGGACCUUGCACUUGCAAGGCAGGCGCAUUGUCACUGAGCUAAAUCCCCAGCCCUGCCUUGUACAGUUUUAAUUGCACCUUGUGUAACAUCAUCUUCAUUGCUACUUUUCUCCCCCUACUCAAUUGUGUUGAUGUUCAGGGACUCUCUUUUGUUACUCAACUGCAGCCUCUUGGAUGUGCAAGGUAGACAGUGCUGCUGUUUCUCUGCUGCCAGCACUUUUAUUAUAUUAGCUGAAAUCAAUCACUUCAUAUUCCUAUAGAGAUUUAUAGGUUACAAAGUGCUUCUCUGGAAUUUACAAAAAAAAAAGAGACUAUAAUUUUCACCUUCGCAUUAGUGAAGUGAGCAUAAUUAUUCCCAUUUAUUAGUGAGGAAAUUCCGGUUCUGGUAGUUCCCCACAGCAACACAAACUGUAAAAUAAGACCUGGAGCUUGGAUCAUGUUUUUUUGGCUGUGUCUGCAAUGAUUUUUCUAUCUCAGCAAUCAGGAUGGUCCUUAUUCAUUUUACCUGGUCAUAAACAUUUAUCCAGGAAAGACAACCAUUCUUUCUGGAAAGACCAAUACUCUCACUUUCAUCUCGCAUGGUUCUGUGAUUUGUUUUGUUUUGUUUUAGGAAGAUAUAUUUUGGCAGGUCAGGCACUCAAGCUGGGUAGUCUAGAUAAAGCUGUGGAUUCAGAAUUCACAGAAUUGAAGAAGCAAUCGGAUUGAUCCAGAAAAUUUUAAAUAAGAAGAUGAUGACAAAAGUAGCACAAAUUGGGAAUAAGCCUGUCAGAAUGAGUGCCUGAGAACAUCUUAUAAAAUGACCUGAGCAGAGCUGAUGGAAUAUAUUUUGUGCAUGUUUUCACCAUAUGGAUGGUUGUCAUUCAGUACAGUGCAGAAGCAGUUGCUAAUUCCGGCCAUGACAUGGUGUCCUUGGAAUAAGGUCACAGCCAACAAUCACAAAUGCACUUUGGAUUUCCAGAGCUGGCCAAGAACUGGUGAGUUGUUGAUUUAUAAAUUUUGGCAAAGAUUAUCACCCAGUGCCUCUAUUCAUCUGUAGCAAUAGAUACCUCACUUUGUGGCUGAGCCCAGAAUUCACAGUAACUUUUUCAGUUUCUCCUAUGUCAGUUGUGGACAUAUGUUCAUGCUCUAUCGAGUAGAAUGUAAGUGGGGGUCUCCAGUAACAACUUUGGGAAGUGUUCCUAACAGUCAGUAGGUGUGCAGCUCUGCCCAUGUCAUUUUUGUCCCUUCCUCCAUCUUGCUGCCUGAAACAUAGGUGCAUGCUUGGAAUUUUCCCCAUUGUACUGGCCUGUGAUGACCGUGGCCAUAUUAUGGAAUAGAGAGAGGCAAGAAGCUAGUAAUCCUGGGGACCUCAAGGAGUAUGCAGUAGUUGCCGCUCCAAACCACCUUUCAGUAGUCACUUAUGUGAGAGGAAUCAACUCCUGUCAUCAAUAAACUGGUGUUACUGCAGGUCUUUAGUUAUUCAAGUUGUCCUGAAUCAGAGCUAAUGCAGGUAGGGUCUAAGAAUUAGAGGAUUGUUUUUCCAUUUUUUUCUUUGUGCCAUAGGUAAUUCCGAUGCAGUUUUAAGAAUCUAGUCUUAUGAAACACAAUUUCUUGUGCUUUGAGAAAAAAGUUAGGAGCCAAGUGGAUUUCCUUCAACUUGAUGUUGAACCGCUCAUAUAUUUUUAUGUCCUGUUGCAAAUAAAGAUUGUGCUAGGCAGUUCGUGGAGAUGCCCACUAGGAACUCAAGAGUAAGUGUUUCAUUAACAUUUAGUAGGAAAUGGUCUCAGAGGCCUGCUUGAACCUCAGAUAGAUUGCUGCAUAAUUACUGAUAAAAAAAGGCUUACACUGAAAGUGGGUACUGUCAGAGAAGGGCUCAGUAAUGACAUGAUGGAAAAGCAGCAUAAUUCGAGAGCAUUAUCUCCCCACAAGGACCAAAAGGGGAGUACCAGACCUACAGUGCACAAACCUGCGCACUAGUUGAGAGAUCACUAAACCCAAGGGAGUGUGAAAGAUGAUCCUAUAGUUGCAGACAAAAAAGUGGUAUAGCACUAUUAUGUAUUUUCACCUAAAAAAAUAAGACUAAUCUUGAUCGAUAUUUUGUGUGCUGAAGCACUGUUAUCCUCAGACUUGCAUCUCAGAAGCCUGCAUAUUAGAAAUGAGCUGUCCUGAGAGAAGGGCACAAGUUCCAAAGUACAAAGAGGUUGAUGGUGGUCUUCUUCCUGUUUCCCCUGCUGUCCAUCUUUUGAAAAGUAGCAAAAAUUGCAUGUGCUGGGGGGUUGAUGAGAAGAGCACUCUCUAAAAACGCUAAUCUCCAUCUCAGAAUCUGAUUUCCAAGGAACCCAGCCCACAGUGCCCGAGGUGCAUGAUGUAAAAUGUUGGGAAACUGCUGGGCACAGUGGCACAUGCCUGUAACAUCAGGUACUUGGGAAGCUGAGGC